AUCCAGUAAUUGGUUUUCAGAGUUUUAUUUUCGUUUGGGUGUUUUCUGAAUAUAAAGGCAGGGGCACUGUUUCAGCACAUGUCAAGGCCUUUAACACAGUCGUGUAGUGAACAUAUGACACUCUAAAAUGUUAUUACUAUUGGCUGAGAUUCCCUUUAAUUCCUCUCACCUUUGUACACAUGUCGGAAGAUUUGUAGACUAUCUAUGUAACAGCUUGUGACUAUGGUCAGAGCUACAGGUUAGGCUAUCCUCCAAACCUGGUGAUAAUCUCUUAAAACCAACUAAGUGGUACUAACAUCGUAAUUAGAGCUCUCAGGGUUAUUAUGAUGAGUGAGAAGGGCAUGAGUGUGUUGGAGUGGAUUGCUCACUUAAUCCAUGCUCAUAAUGCUGAGCCAUAAACGUGGUGGAGUGGUUUGCCCUUGCAGUUCCACUCUUAUAAUGCUAAGGGAAGUACCCUAGGCAUCUCUUAGCAGCCUUUAAUGGCAUCAACCUUGGGUUGCUGGCUGGGGCUUCAGUGCCUUGUAGCUGACCUGUUGCAUUCAGGAAUCUUCAGCAACGCACAAAGUUUCCAAAUUCAUUCUCUUUUCACUCACCGGAUUAUCUAGCCACAGUAGCCUACUGUAUAGCCAACCUGGGGCUGAAUUUGGGGAGACUUGCGGCUCAGUUAGCAUUCCAGUUUACCCAACAAUGUUCAGUGGGGUUGAAGUCAGGGCUCUGUGAAGGCCACUUGAGUUCUCCCACUCCAACCUUGCUGGAACAUGUUUGGGCCUCUUGGUCUUGUGCUCCAGUGAAGGAAAAUUAUCAUGCUACGGCAUACAAAAACAUCCCAUACAAUUGGGUGCUUCCAAAUUUAUGGCAACAGUUUGGGGAAGGCCCACAUAGGACCCUUUGGUGAUGAGGUUGAUUGAACCUCCUCUUCUGCACUUGGCACUUUGGAUCAUGACGCAGUACAGUUCUCGUUCAGUUUAAUUUUGGACCAACACCAGUUAUGGUUGGCUUAGUUGACACUGCUAAGGGCAUGCAAAACAACCCUGUGCAAAUUGCUCUAUGUACCAGGGUCAGUGUUUGGGCCUGUGGCCAAAGAAGCCCAAGAGAAGAGAAUCCAAUUCUCAGACUCUAAAGACUUAACAAAACAAAAUAGAAUGGACGUACCCUCAUCACUCGAGAACACAGCUCCUUUCACGGACAGACAUUUCAAACCAGAGUCUUACUCUGCCUUCACUAGAGCAGAGGGCAUAAACAAAAGUGUAUGGCCAUACUCCUGAUUGGAGGAGACCAUAUGAUCCAGCACAGGAAGGCUUAAUUCAAGGGCAUCAAUCCCCAGCGCGUGGCAGACAUUACCGUGCCUUACCAGUUAGGAAGUCUGCUAUGGCUGGCUCCAGGUGCCGCUAAGGGCAUAUGCAGGUUUUUAUAAAAUAUUGAUAUUUAUUCAUUAAUAAUUGUUAAUAAUAACAGUUGUGGUACCCAUCUUAUUCAUAAAGUUGCAUCCUUGCAUCCUUUCUAACAGUAAAAUAGCUACCAUUCUUUUUAGGCUUUAGAGUUUACACAUAAUUGCUGUUCCAUCAUGUUAUAAAUUCACACUGGUACCAUGUGCAUACAUGUUAAUGUUCUGACUACACUAAAAUAAUCUCAAAAACCUGGAUGUAAUACAAAAAUCCAACAUACCUUGUACUGAAAGAUUAUUAGUAUGCAUGAAUUAUAUUUGAUAUGUGUCCUGGAAGUACCUGUCAUGAAAUGUUUAAAUCCACCCCACCAAACUUUCCAGCCAAAAUUCAACAGAUCUAGAGAGACACGACACUGUUAAAAUGAUCAAGGGCUUUAAUAGCAAUACACAGGCUUGCAACUUAUACAUAUGAAGCAAUAUUGUUAUGUUAGUUUAGGGGAAAUAUGGGUUGACUAUAAUAUUUAUAAAAUGUGAACACUACUGCAUACACAUGUCAUUGUCAUGUUUCUUUUUUGUUAAUGUUAUUAAAACUUUAUUCAGUUAAGUUGUUUUCUGCUGUAUUUAAUGCAACAUCAGAUUGAAUGGUAUUUGGCUCUUGUGGACCAGCAGUUGCAGUCAAACAAUGAAAAUAAAAACCCUUAUCAAAUGACUUUU
ensembl:lncRNA